GACGUAGGGUGCGAGCGUUGUCCGGAUUUAUUGGGCGUAAAGAGCUCGUAGGCGGCUCGUCGCGUCGACCGUGAAAACCCGCGGCUUAACUGCGGGCUUGCGGUUGAUACGGGCGGGCUAGAGUUCGGUAGGGGAGACUGGAAUUCCUGGUGUAGCGGUGAAAUGCGCAGAUAUCAGGAGGAACACCAAUGGCGAAGGCAGCUCGCUGGGACGGUACUGACGCUGAGACGCGAAAGCGUGGGGAGCAAACAGG
rnacentral:rRNA from 1 species